rnacentral:lncRNA from 1 species
UAACAGAUGAGAUUUGUUAUGCAAGUAUUAAUGGUGUAUAUGGAAUUAUAAAUGUUGCCCGUACAGUUUAAUGUGAUGCGACCAAGUUAACGUCGAUACGACUAUUUAAACUUGGGAUCGUAAGCUAGUAUUUGACUCUAAAGUUUAAAGUGACCAAGUGCAUAUAAGUUGAAGGUUAGAUUAAUGGUAUUAGGAGCUAGAAAUGGAAUAAAAAUUGAGGUGCUUUCUUGACUUAAUUAAGCUAGUAGGUGAGUCACCUACUCGAGCCAUUUGGACCAAAUUAAUGGAUCCAUGGCUAUGGACCAGAUUUGGGCCAAUACUAAUGUACUCAUUUGGG